UGGGGAAUAUUGCACAAUCGGCGCAAGCCUUAUGCAGCCAUGCCGCGUGUAUGAAGAAGGCCUUCGGGUUGUAAAGUACUUUCAGCGGGGAGGAAGGGAGUAAAGUUAAUACCUCUGCUCAUUGCCGUUACCCGCAGAAGAAGCACCGGCUAACUCCGUGCCAUCAGCCGCUGUAAUACGGAGGGUGCAAGCGUUACUCGGAAUUACUGGGCGUAAAGCGCUCGCAGGCGGUUGGUUAAGUCAGAUGUGAAAACCCCGGGCUCAACAUGGGAACUGCAGCUGAUACUGGCAAGCUUGAGUCUCGUAGAGGGGGGUAGAAUUCCAGGUGUAGCGGUGAAAUGCGUAGAGAUCUGGAGGAAUACCGGUGGCGAAGGCGGCCCCCUGGACAAAGACUGACGCUCAGGUGCGAAAGCGUGGGGAGCAAACAGG
rnacentral:rRNA from 1 species